AGGUUUUUAUUUGCUUUUCAACAUCCAUUUCAUAGUGGUACAUGUGGCUUUGAUUAAUAUUACCAUAAAGACUGCCGAAAAUGGGUGUGGUACGGAAACCCAGAAAUGGCAUGAGUUCAACAUCAAACCUGGAUUAGAAUUUUAGCGGGGAAUCAAGUCAAGUCUGGAAGUGUUACAGGAUGGAAGAGUGAGCCUACAGUUGAAAAAACACUGAGAGUGCAUUACCAUUAAGCAAUCCUUUAUAGUUCUGUCACAGCUAGAAGCCUCAAAUAAUUCUGCUUCUCUUGCUAAAGAACAACUUGUCCUUUACGUUCAGAGUGUUGGUGAAGCUGGGUACUUAAAUGGCCAUAAAGAUGUUUUAAUUUUGCUGCCGUUGCAGAGAUGAACAUCAUACAUGGA